rnacentral:rRNA from 1 species
UGGGGAAUAUUGGACAAUGGGCGCAAGCCUGAUCCAGCCAUGCCGCGUGAGUGAUGAAGGCCUUAGGGUUGUAAAGCUCUUUCGCCGGUGAAGAUAAUGACGGUAACCGGAGAAGAAGCCCCGGCUAACUUCGUGCCAGCAGCCGCGGUAAUACGAAGGGGGCUAGCGUUGCUCGGAAUUACUGGGCGUAAAGCGCACGUAGGCGGUUUCUUAAGUCGGGGGUGAAAUCCUGGAGCUCAACUCCAGAACUGCCUUCGAUACUGGGAAACUUGAGUUCGGGAGAGGUGAGUGGAACUGCGAGUGUAGAGGUGAAAUUCGUAGAUAUUCGCAAGAACACCAGUGGCGAAGGCGGCUCACUGGCCCGAUACUGACGCUGAGGUGCGAAAGCGUGGGGAGCAAACAGG